rnacentral:tRNA from 1 species
UGGUAGCUCAGAUGGUAGAGCAACGGACUGAAAAUCCGUGUGUCACUGGUUCGAUUCCCGUCCA